AAAAGCUUUGAACCCACUGAGGGAGACGAGGAAACAGAGUCACGGCACCCUAGAGAAUGAGGGGCACCCAAUGCCAAAGCGCCAACAUACUGAGAAGAUGGGGAGAGCUUAAGAUUUGGUAAUAGUGGAUUGAUGGCCCAGAAUAAUGAACCGCUGAAGAAUAGGUUGAGGCACUUAGCCAGGGCAUGUUCUGCCGUCAGCCAUUUGUGGAGAAUGGACUGUUGAUUCUUUCACUUCAUUUAACCACCCCUACUGUUUAUAAAAGAAGAGAACCAGAACUCUGGGAGGCCAUUGCCUUGGCACAUGGAAUCCAAGGCUUAGCAAAAUCAAGGUGGCUAUCACUGGACAGCAUUUGAACUCCAAUAGCGUGCUGCUAGCCCCUGGCAGCCACCAUUCUACUGUCUGUCUCUAUGAAUUUGACUACUCUAGGUACCUCAUGAUCCAAGCCAGGACACCACAUUACAUUGUUCUCAGGGCUCCUUUGGUUCCUGUUGACUAUGACCAUUUCUUAGAAUUGCUUUGUUUUGAUGACCUUGACAAUAUUGAGGAGUACUGCUCAGGAAUAAUUUCGAUGUGACCCAGUGCAUCUUCUUUAGGAUCAUCACCAGGAAGCUGUGAGUGAUGUCACUGCCCUGAAUUGGUGAAGCACUGGGGUGUUUUUAUGCAGUUUAUGGUGGUGCUGCCUUCGUCCAUGCCUGUAAUUGGAAUCCUCAUGCUGUAGCUGCUCUGAGAAAAGAAAAAUCUAGAGAUAAAUGGAGUAGCAGAUCGGUGCCAAAUAUACUUUGAGGAUAACGGGAAGGUGAGUACAGGGGAAAUACAUCUUUUGACAACUCAGAGUCACUUUCCACACAUACUACUAGGCAGUGACUUUCAGAAAAUAAUCCUUUUCUCCCGAAACAAAAUAAGACCAACUGUACUGCUUGCCUUUAUCAUUUCACUAUAUAAGUACUGGUCUUACGUUGAAUGAGUUCACUCAGAAAAUUUGAGUGGUACAUGUAGAAAGUUAAUUGGCGGUAAUUGGGUAGAGGAGGGGAAUAGGUAAGCAGCCAAGGUCCGGAAUUAGUACAUAAAUAUAAUAAAGUGAGUGAAAUAAAACUAUAGGACUUUAGAGUUUAAUGCUAUUUAAAGAUGUGGAUUGCCUGCUUUAAAAGAAAUUGGAGAGGAAAAUGAUGGGAAAGAUGUUAAGUUGGAGUGAAAACUCACAAAAAAUGAGUCAUCCUCAUUUCCCACAGAGUAAAGUGGAAAAGAAUUUGUUUCUUUGUUUUUUUUUUUUUAAAUUUUUUCAAAAUAUACAACUGGAAAAGGAAAUUGGGGAAAUCUAUGGAGUCAUUUUCUCUCUUGGUGUGCUAUGGCUAUGUCCCAUUUGAUAGUACUGCUGUUAUUCCUCAUUUCAUUUUCUUUACAACUCUUGUAGCUGAAACUGUUGCACAUCUCUGACAGGUAAUUCUCAGGCUGGUCCUUAACUCUGAAGAAGGCUGGUUCAUUACCUGCCAAAUGUUAUAUCAGGACACUGGAGGCGUUUUGCAUUUAGACUAAAAUGUGAAAUCUUUCCUGGGGAAGAAUUUAGCUUCCUGGAAACAGGGACAUAGAGGAGAAGCAGAACUGUCAUUCUCCUCAGCAGAUUAUCAGUGACGAGUAGAAAUAUAAAUCUACUGGAAUUUCUGUGAGGGAAAUGCUGGCAGUAGCCACCAAACCAGAGUGGCAAAGUUGGGCUCAAUCUUUAGAAACUCACAUUGCCAUUCUCUACCAAUAAGUGCACAGUAAACCGUGGAAGACACAGAUCUUGCAUAUUCAGCCAGUAAAAUCCUAUGCUGCCCAUGUGAUUCACAUGGUCCUGGAUAUAAACUACCACCCCUGUCCUCUAAUCGACCAGAGGAGGUGAAUCCUGGGGCAAGAGGGUUCCAUGUGUGAGUGAGCUUCCACAGUUGAUUCCCUUAACUUAUUCAACUCAAG